GCGCUUGUAGUUCAAUUGGAUAGAACGUUGCUCUCCGGAGGCAAAAGUAGAGGGUUCAAAUCCCUCCGAGCGCA
rnacentral:tRNA from 1 species